UUAGUUGAGUGGGCAAGAGACUGGAUUUUAAUUUUCCCGUCGAUUUUGGAGGAAGGGUCUACUUUAUUUGGGGGUGUGGGGCAUUGUUUUACAUGCACCGUUCAACGUUUUGUAAGAGGCCCCUUAAGCUUUAAUGUAAUUUAGGAUUCCUAAAUAAGCAUAAAGUUUACAGAACGAGAGUGCAGGGUCUCAGGUUGACUCGUACAUAUUUCGUACGUGAGAACGAAAGCAGAGGCAGAGAAGGAAAUACUCACACUUUUUGCUCUUCAUUCAUCUGUCGUAGUUUGGUUGGGCUGGCGGGAACACGUUUUUCAUCCUCAACGUUGCCGAAAAGUACGCACUUUUUCAGUCCAGCAUAGUUUUUCUAUUGAAACGCCGUAGUGAAAUAAAAGGCUUCAUAAUGUACUAGUUCCAGUCCAGUCAUUCGUAGAAAUAGUGCCGGUACGAAAGGAAUUAAUGGAACUCUAAAUAAAUAGUGAUUUUAUAGCAAUUGGAACUUUAUUUACGAGAGUUUCUGACAAGUUUCACGUGAAGAAGACAUUCGUUGUUGGAAAGGAGGAUAAUUGAGAGUCAAAAUUUGUUCCUGGGAAUUUGAGACAUUCAGUUUUUAAACAUCUCACAAUGAAACAUCCGCCAUCCCCGAUUAAAAACUCGUUGAAGACGAUAAUCAAGACUCCAGUCACCAGGGCUUCGCAACCAUCUUCCGCCCAAGCAGUAUCUGAACCAGUGACGCCCACUCCAAGUAUUGCCCCCUCAAUUCCGUCGUCGGCGCAAUCUAUUGAAGAGAAGCGAGUUUUAAUAAGGAAGUAACUCGUCAUCCUACUUCAUGCGAUUGUCUGCCGGCGCCGAGACCAUCGGAACAGAAUCAGGAAUCCGACAACCUCAUCCCCGCCGUGCCAUGUUCCUUUCUGUGAACUCAUGAAGACUACUCAAGUUCACCUGAACGCUUGUAAGGAGGGAGAAGCGUGCAGAUAUAAUCACUGCGCUUCGUCAAGACAGAUCUUGAUGCACUGGAAAUAUUGCAGAAGAGCUGACUGUCCCGUUUGCGUAUCCCUAAGGAGAGCUAUUCCAACAAGCUUACUUCAGAUCUUUCCGAAUCCGCUGUGUCGAGCGGAAGUGAUGCAAAGGGUCGCCAGACAGCAGCAAAAUGCCAAUCACGGAGAAGACCAAGCGGUCCCUGAACUUAUGGAGUCUGAGGAAUGAUCAUCAUAACUGAAUUUACCGUUCCUGUAUUUAUUUACAAAAAGUGAUUUAUUUUUUGUGUACAUAUAAAUAUCCACAAUUCUUUACCACUUUUCUGACACGAAAUUUCCCAGUUUUUGUUGAAAAUGCUUUAAAAUCCAAUUAUAGUAGCGUUAUGAAUUAUAUUUGCUGUUGUAGUCAAGUUUUCGACAAAUUUAAUUUUCCUUUAUUUAUUGAUUCAGUUUUGAAAACGAUUGGUUAAAAGCAAUUAAUGAAUAACAAGCCAACGUUUAUUUACAUUUAUCAACGUUUUCAACCUAACGGAAGCGAUUCCAAGAAACGAAUGUGUCAUAAAAAGUAUGAUUAUAUUAUUUAUCAUUAAAUCAAUAGUUAUUAUCCAUGAAAAUGCAUCAUUUCCUACCGUUCAGUAUUAAUACUGUAAGACAUGAGAUUUUGUAGAUUAAUUGUGUUCAAGGCGUGAAUUUUUCAUGUAUCAUCUUACGAGCUAUUAGAGAAAAGAAAGGCGUUUUAGUAUUAGAGAGAGAAAGAACUGAAUUAUGUAUCUGAUUUAUUGUACGGUUAUUGACCUAUGAUUUAAACAUUUCGUUCCAAAAUUACUUGAAAUGUAUGAAUAAAAUCCUUAUCGUGAACAUUCACUUUAAAGAUAAGAUUAUGA